rnacentral:RNase_P_RNA from 1 species
AGAGUCAGCCGAACAGUCGCCGGUUCGUCUUUUGACGAACGGGAGGAAAGUCCGGGCUCCAUAGGACAGGGUGCCAGGUAACGCCUGGGGGGCGAGAGCCUACGGCAAGUGCAGCAGAGAGUAGACCGCCUACAAACUUCGGUUUGUCGGUAAGGGUGAAAGGGUGCGGUAAGAGCGCACCGCACGCGUGGUAACACGUCGUGGCAAGGUAAACCCCACCUGGAGCAAGGC